rnacentral:rRNA from 1 species
UACAGGAGGGUGCGAGCGUUGUUCGGAAUUGAUUGGGCGUAAAGCGCUUGUAGGCGGCACGUCAAGUCGCGUGUGAAAUCCCCAGGCUUAACCUGGGAAGUGCGCGCGAAACUGACGAGCUUGAGUGCCGGAGAGGGUCGCGGAAUUCCCGGUGUAGAGGUGAAAUUCGUAGAUAUCGGGAGGAACACCAGUGGCGAAGGCGGCGACCUGGACGGACACUGACGCUGAGACGCGAAAGCGUGGGGAGCAAACAGG